ACAUACGACCAUAGGGUGUGGAAAACAGGGCUUCCCGUCCGCUCAGCCGUACUUAAGCCACACGCCGGUGAGUUAGUAGUUGGGUGGGUGACCACCAGCGAAUCCUCACUGUUGUAU
rnacentral:rRNA from 2 species